rnacentral:lncRNA from 1 species
ACUGACAUAUGUAACUCAUUUUUCUUUCAAGAAUUAAUAUUUUCUUCCUCUUUGUGUUACAAUUCCUUCAGUAAUAUCAGAGCCCUAAGGAUCUUAAAAGAAAAAUAAAAGAAAAAAAGAUAGAAAAAAGAGAGAAAACAAGUGAGGAAAGCUUCACCAAAACACUUUCACCAUUUCAGCAAAAAAUUAGAUCUGAGAGUGAUGGCUUCAAUUGGUUUUUCAGCUCUAUGAUUUUUGGGCUGCAAAAAUGAAGGCUUACAUAGAAGCAUAUGAUCUAUGGGAUACCAUGGAAUCAGGUAUUGAACCAUCUCCUCUAAGGGAAAAUUCUACUAUUCUCAGUUGAAGCAACACGGUGAGGAGGUUGCAAAGAAGUUCAACACAUUGUCCUGCAUCCAAUCUACCAUUUUGAUGCAGUAUUCACCAGGAUUAUCCCUUGUAAGAUAGCAAAGGAGGCUUCGGAUAGAUUGCAAGAUAAGUUUAGAGGUAAUGCAAGAACAUGGCGAAUGCAAGUUUUAAAUUUAAGAAGGGAAUAUGAAACCUUGAAGAUGAAAGACUCAGAAUUUGUCAAACAAUAUUCUGAUAGGCUGAUGAAAGUAGUGACCAAAUAAGGCUGUUGGGAGAUGAGUUACCAAAUAGGAGAGUUGUAGAGAAGGUGCUGAUCAGUUCACCAAAAAAAUUUAAGGUUAAAAUCUCCUCUCUUGAAGACUCUAGAGACCUGUCUCCUAUAACCUUAUCUGAGUUGGUUAAUGCCUUGCAAGCUACUGAGCAAAAGAGGCUAAUGAGGCAGGAAGAACAAGUACAAGGUGCCUUGUUUUUUAAAGGAAAGUACAAAGUGUAAACAAGCUAUGGUAUGAAGAAGUAUCAGCAACAGAAAGAGAUGGUUGAAGGCAACAAAGCUGCUGAUAAAAGUGAUGCUUAUCCACCUUGUCCUUAUUGCAAAAAAAAAAAAAUCGGCCAUUUUCCAAAAUGGUGCUGGUACAGGCUAGGAGUUCAGUGUAGAGGUUGUAAACAAUUUGGACAUGUUCAAAAGAUGUGCAAAAAUCUCAAGGAACAGCAAUCCAAGCAGCAGGCAUAGGUUGCUUAAAAUCAGCAACAAGAUCAGCAAGAACACUUAUUCACAGUUACAAAUCACAAGAUGUGUAGUGAUGUUGGAACAUGGCUAUUGAGUAGUAGUUGCACACAUCAUAUGGCUUCAAAUUCCAUCAUCUUUGUUGAACUUGACAGCAAUUACAAAUCAAAAGUGAAGAUGGGAAAUGGUGAGUAUGUCAAAGUGGAAGGGAUUGGUGUGAUUUCUUUGCAGACUUCAACAGGUAUUAUUAAGUUUAUUUCUGAUGUUCUUUAUGUGCCAAACAUAGAUCAAAACUUGGCGAGUGUAGGUCAGUUGAUUGAGAAAAAUUAUACACUCAUAUGCAAAGAUAAUUGCUACAUCAUAAUGGAUAGAAGUGGAAAUGAAGUGAUGGUAGUUCAAAUUAAACAAAGAAGUUUUCCUUUAGAAUGGAAAAAUAUGUCAUCGCAUGCAUUCUCUAGCACCGUUGAAGACUUUUCUCUUUUGCAUAAACAUUUUGGACAUGCAAAUUCCACCUCACUUAAGCAAUUGAACAAGCUGAAACUUGUAGAAAACCCGUCUGUCAUUUGUGAUGAAAGAUAUGUUUGUGAUGUAUGUCAACUUGGAAAGCAAACCAGAUUGCCAUUCCCUAAAAGUCAGUCAAGAAGAGCUACAAAUAAGUUGGAAUUGAUCCAUUCAAAUGUGUGUGGUCCAAUGAGAAGACAAACUCGUAAUGACGGUAGGUGCUUUGUACUCUUUAUUGAUGACCUAACAAGGAUGUGAUAGGUGUAUUUUUUGAAAAUGAAAUCAGAGGUUGCUGGUGUCUUUCAAAAGUUCAAGAAUCCAGCAGAAAAUGAGAGCAAUAAAGGCCAUUAUGAUAGACAAUGGAACUGAAUACGAGUGUGAUCAGUUUGACAAGUUCUGUGAUGCCAUUGGAAUCAAAAACUAAUUGAUAAUUCCUUACACACAUCAGCAAAAUGGAGUGUGUGAGAGAAAAAAUAGGACGGUGAUGGAAUGGCCAGGUGUUUGUGUAGCGACCCAAAAAUAAAAAAAACUUUCAUAAUUGAUUGAAUAUUCAAAGCACUAAUCAAACACGCUUGAAAACUUGGUGGAAUAGUCAAGACAUUUAUCAACAAAUUUAAAUACAUGAAAUGAAACAUCAAAUUAUUCUUUUAAUUAUUUAAUGAUAUGAAACAAUUUUUUCUAACUUUUCAUUUCAAUUUAUUCAAAUUUCUAACGUGUGAGAUUUAUAAAUG